CCACCACCAAAGCAUUCUCUGGUGUUGAAGGCCCUGCAAAGUAGCAUCGCGGUGGCGGAGCGUCGUUUGCGACGCCCAACACACAAAACAAGCGGUGAGUGCUUUGGGGUGGGGUGACUGCGUACCUUUUGUAUAAUGGGUCAGCGACUUAUAUUCUGUAGCAAGGUUAACCGCAUAGGGGAGCCGGAGGGAAACCGAGUCUUAAUUGGGCGUUAAGUUGCAGGGUAUAGACCCGAAACCCGGUGAUCUAGCCAUGGGCAGGUUGAAGGUUGGGUAACACUAACUGGAGGACCGAACCGACUAAUGUUGAAAAAUUAGCGGAUGACCUGUGGCUGGGGGUGAAAGGCCAAUCAAACCGGGAGAUAGCUGGUUCUCCCCGAAAGCUAUUUAGGUAGCGCCUCGUGAAUUCAUCUCCGGGGGUAGAGCACUGUUUCGGCUAGGGGGCCAUCCCGGCUUACCAACCCGAUGCAAACUGCGAAUACCGGAGAAUGUUAUCACGGGAGACACACGGCGGGUGCUAACGUCCGUCGUGAAGAGGGAAACAACCCAGACCGCCAGCUAAGGUCCCAAAGUCAUGGUUAAGUGGGAAACGAUGUGGGAAGGCCCAGACAGCCAGGAUGUUGGCUUAGAAGCAGCCAUCAUUUAAAGAAAGCGUAAUAGCUCACUGGUCGAGUCGGCCUGCGCGGAAGAUGUAACGGGGCUAAACCAUG
rnacentral:rRNA from 1 species